GUUACUAAAGGAUUCUGGGUGGGCAUAUGCAAAUUUGUUCAACAAAGAAUCAUAUUUUUGCCUAAUUCCAUUUAAAAUAUAUAUCUACACUUUCUCUUCCUCCCGAAUUUCAAAAUACAUUGCAACCCCACCCGCAUUGUUACCACAAUGUUUAGGUCAAGUUGUGCUCUAGACUCUAGAUACAGUUAGAGCUCGGAUUUGUUAUAGAUUUAUUUUAUUCACAGCUACGUAAGCGCCAUAUGAAGGAUUUGGAUAUGCGAAUCCUAUCUCCAG